AAAAAUUAACAUUUUAGUUAUCUGGAGCGUCAUAGCAAAUCUUUGCCCGAUUGUUAUCAAAAAAAAAAAACUUUAAAUUUUUAAUAAAGGUACAUUCUUAUAAUAUUUUAGUACUUUUUUAGAUAAAAAAAUAAAAAAUUUAUUAAUAUCUAUUUUUCACAAGAUUAUAUUUUUAUUUCCAAAAGGAAAUAACUUGGCAAUUGAACCAAGACUCUUGUGCUUAUCCUUUUCACUGUUCCAUGUGGGUCCUGAAUACGGGGCCUUCGCAUAGGCGUAACACGUUGAGAAUAUGCAUAGAACAAAAUCAUAUGGGCGAAAAAUUUUUAUUUUGAAAUAUAAACAUGAAAAAGGUUUAUGGUCAAAUAUACUGUCAUAUAAUUCGACAACGGUAUAUUCAUUAUUUCGCAUACAAAUUGUAUACGUAAAAACUAAUGCAAUGACGCAGAGAUGGAAACACUUCGAACAUUUCAUCUUUUAUUUUUCAAAAAUAUUUUAAUAAUGGAUAUACGCAGUUGUAUUUCCUAUAAAUGUUUAAAAUAUCAAGUGAAAAUUUACGAAUAAAAAAGAUAUCCUUUACUCGUUUAAAAAACGAACAAGUUAAAAAGAGAAUGGUACAUAUACGAUGGUCGGAAUGUAUGGCGUACCAACUUGCGGUACGCUAAAAGGAAAUCGCAGGAACAUGUGAAAAUUUGCGGCUCGAAAAUAUCGAUGCGCUUCACGUAGCUUACACUCUCUGACCAUCUCUCUAGUCCUUGAUGCACUUGGUAAUGCAAUCAAACCGGACUUCUUUCAUUUAAGGAGACGAUCGAUGAUGCGAAACUUGAAACACGCGCGCGUGUACAUCGAAAGUUCCGAGCCCUAAUUUCGUUCGUAUUUUUAUUUUGUGCGCGAUAUAACAAUUGUCAAAAAAAAAAAAAAAAAAAACAUCCAUAUUAUACACGAAAAUAUAAAGAUAAGUGCGUGUUAUACCCGUAAUCAUACGUGCCAAACUUAUUUGUGCCAGAGUGAUUUUCCAAAUUACAACAUCCUACACGCGUGUUUUUUAUUACAGUAAUCUACAAUUCCCCGUGGCAACUAUAAUUCCGUAUCGAGUUCGAUAGAAGCGUGUCAUCGAAUACAAUAGAAGACUAAUGACGUCAUG